rnacentral:siRNA from 1 species
UACGAAUCGGUCCUGAAAGCU